rfam:Pteropus alecto contig88505, whole genome shotgun sequence.
GUCUACGGCCAUGUCAUCCUGAAUAUGCCCGAUCCCAUCUGAUCUCGGCAGCUAAGCAGGGUCGGGCCUGGUUAGUACUUGGAUGGGAGACCACCUAGGAAAACAAGGUGCUGUAAGCA